AUUGUGCCAGCGGCCGCGGUAAUACAGAGGGUGCAAGCGUUGUUCGGAAUUAUUGGGCGUAAAGCGAGUGUAGGCGGUUAUCUAAGUCUGGUGUGAAAGCCCGGGGCUCAACCUCGGAAGUGCACUGGAUACUGGGUAACUAGAGGGCGAUAGAGGGGAACGGAAUUAAUGGUGUAGGGGUGAAAUCCGUAGAUAUCAUUAGGAACACCGAAAGCGAAGGCUGUUCCCUGGGUCGCAACUGACGCUAAGACUCGAAAGCAUGGGUAGCAAACAGGAUUAGAUACCCUGGUAGUCCACGCCCUAAACGAUGUCAACUGGUUGUUGGGAGGGUUUCUUCUCAGUAACGUAGCUAACGCGUGAAGUUGACCGCCUGGGGAGUACGGCCGCAAGGUUGAAACUCAAAGGAAUUGACGGGGGCCCGCACAAGCGGUGGAGUAUGUGGUUUAAUUCGAUGCAACGCGAAGAACCUUACCUGGCCUUGACAUGCACGGAACUUUCCAGAGAUGGAUUGGUGCCUUCGGGAACCGUGACACAGGUGCUGCAUGGCUGUCGUCAGCUCGUGUCGUGAGAUGUUGGGUUAAGUCCCGCAACGAGCGCAACCCUUGUCAUUAGUUGCCACGAAAGGGCACUCUAAUGAGACUGCCGGUGACAAACCGGAGGAAGGUGGGGAUGACGUCAGGUCCUCAUGGCCCUUAUGGGUAGGGCUACACACGUCAUACAAUGGCCGGUACAGAGGGCUGCCAACCCGCGAGGGGGAGCCAAUCCCAGAAAACCGGUCGUAGUCCGGAUCGCAGUCUGCAACUCGACUGCGUGAAGUCGGAAUCGCUAGUAAUCGCGGAUCAGCUUGCCGCGGUGAAUACGUUCCCGGGUCUUGUACACACCGCCCGUCACACCAUGGGAGCGGGUUCCGCCAGAAGUAGUUAGCCUAACCGCAAGGAGGGCGAUUACCACGGCGGGGUUCGUGACUGGGGUGAAGUCGUAACAAGGUAACCAAU
rnacentral:rRNA from 1 species